rnacentral:rRNA from 2 species
UCAAGCGAACAAGUGCAUGUGGUGGAUGCCUUGGCGAUCACAGGCGAUGAAGGACGCGGUAGCCUGCGAAAAGCUUCGGGGAGCUGGCAAACGAGCUUUGAUCCGGAGAUGUCCGAAUGGGGAAACCCGGCCCGUAUGGGUCAUCCCACACUGAAUCCAUAGGUGUGGGAAGCGAACGCGGCGAACUGAAACAUCUAAGUAGCUGCAGGAACAGAAAUCAACCGAGAUUCCCAAAGUAGUGGCGAACGAAAUGGGAAGAGCCUUGUACUCUUUAGCAGUGGUGUUAGCAGAACGGGAUGGAAAGCCCGGCCAUAGCAGGUGAUAGCCCUGUAUGCGAAAACACGAUUGUGGAACUAGGUGUACGACAAGUAGGGCGGGACACGUGAAAUCCUGUCUGAAGAUGGGGGGACCAUCCUCCAAGGCUAAAUACUCGUGAUCGACCGAUAGUGAACCAGUACCGUGAGGGAAAGGCGAAAAGAACCCCGGGAGGGGAGUGAAAUAGAUCCUGAAACCGCAUGCAUACAAACAGUCGGAGCCCUUUCGGGGGUGACGGCGUACCUUUUGUAUAAUGGGUCAGCGACUUACAUUCAGUGGCAAGCUUAACCGAUUAGGGAAGGCGUAGCGAAAGCGAGUCCGAACAGGGCGUUGAGUCGCUGGGUGUAGACCCGAAACCAGAUGAUCUAUCCAUGGCCAGGUUGAAGGUGCGGUAACACGUACUGGAGGACCGAACCCACUAACGUUGAAAAGUUAGGGGAUGAGCUGUGGAUAGGGGUGAAAGGCUAAACAAAUCUGGAAAUAGCUGGUUCUCUCCGAAAACUAUUUAGGUAGUGCCUCGUGUCUCACCUUCGGGGUAGAGCACUGUCAUGGUUGGGGGGUCUAUUGCUGAUUACCCCGCCAUAGCAAACUCCGAAUACCGAAGAGUGCAAUCACGGGAGACAGACAUCGGGUGCUAACGUCCGGUGUCAAGAGGGAAACAACCCAGACCGCCAGCUAAGGUCCCCAAGAUUGGCUAAGUGGGAAACGAAGUGGGAAGGCUAAAACAGUCAGGAGGUUGGCUUAGAAGCAGCCACCCUUUAAAGAAAGCGUAAUAGCUCACUGAUCGAGUCGUCCUGCGCGGAAGAUGUAACGGGGCUAAGCCAGUCACCGAAGCUGCGGACGCACGCAAGUGCGUGGUAGGAGAGCGUUCUGUAAGCCUGUGAAGGUGUCUUGUAAAGGAUGCUGGAGGUAUCAGAAGUGCGAAUGCUGACAUGAGUAGCGAUAAAGGGGGUGAAAGGCCCCCUCGCCGUAAGCCCAAGGUUUCCUACGCAACGUUCAUCGGCGUAGGGUGAGUCGGCCCCUAAGGCGAGGCAGAGAUGCGUAGCUGAUGGGAAGCAGGUUAAUAUUCCUGCACCGUCGUAUGAUGCGAUGGGGGGACGGAUCGCGGAAGGUUGUCCGGGUGUUGGAAGUCCCGGUCCCUGCAUUGGAGAAGGCGCUCAGGCAAAUCCGGGCGCGGGAUUCAAGGAUGCGGGGCGAGCGGCCUAGUGCUGCGAAGCAAUUGGAAGUGGUUCCAAGAAAAGCCUCUAAGCUUCAGUCAUACGAGACCGUACCGCAAACCGACACAGGUGGGCGAGAUGAGUAUUCUAAGGCGCUUGAGAGAACUCGGGAGAAGGAACUCGGCAAAUUGGUACCGUAACUUCGGGAUAAGGUACGCCCUGGUAGCUUGACUGGCCUGCGCCAGAAGGGUGAAGGGGUUGCAAUAAAAUGGUGGCUGCGACUGUUUAAUAAAAACACAGCACUCUGCAAACACGAAAGUGGACGUAUAGGGUGUGACGCCUGCCCGGUGCCGGAAGAUUAAAUGAUGGGGUGCAAGCUCUUGAUUGAAGUCCCGGUAAACGGCGGCCGUAACUAUAACGGUCCUAAGGUAGCGAAAUUCCUUGUCGGGUAAGUUCCGACCUGCACGAAUGGCGUAACGAUGGCCACACUGUCUCCUCCCGAGACUCAGCGAAGUUGAAGUGUUUGUGAUGAUGCAAUCUCCCCGCGGCUAGACGGAAAGACCCCAUGAACCUUUACUGUAGCUUUGCAUUGGACUUUGAACCGAUCUGUGUAGGAUAGGUGGGAGGCUUUGAAGCGUGGACGCUAGUUCACGUGGAGCCGUCCUUGAAAUACCACCCUGGUUUGUUUGAGGUUCUAACCUUGGCCCGUGAAUCCGGGUCGGGGACAGUGCAUGGUAGGCAGUUUGACUGGGGCGGUCUCCUCCCAAAGUGUAACGGAGGAGUUCGAAGGUACGCUUGGUACGGUCGGACAUCGUACCUAAAGUGCAAUGGCAAAAGCGUGCUUAACUGCGAGACCGACAAGUCGAGCAGGUGCGAAAGCAGGACAUAGUGAUCCGGUGGUUCUGAAUGGAAGGGCCAUCGCUCAACGGAUAAAAGGUACUCUGGGGAUAACAGGCUGAUACCGCCCAAGAGUUCAUAUCGACGGCGGUGUUUGGCACCUCGAUGUCGGCUCAUCUCAUCCUGGGGCUGUAGCCGGUCCCAAGGGUAUGGCUGUUCGCCAUUUAAAGAGGUACGUGAGCUGGGUUUAAAACGUCGUGAGACAGUUUGGUCCCUAUCUGCCGUGGGCGUUGGAAUCUUGACGGGGGCUGCUCCUAGUACGAGAGGACCGGAGUGGACGUACCGCUGGUGUACCUGUUGUCUCGCCAGAGGCAUCGCAGGGUAGCUAUGUACGGAAGAGAUAACCGCUGAAAGCAUCUAAGCGGGAAACUCGCCUGAAGAUGAGGAUUCCCUGGAGGCUUGACCUCCUUGAAGGGUCGUUCGAGACCAGGACGUUGAUAGGCUGGGUGUGGAAGCGCAGUAAUGCGUUAAGCUAACCAGUACUAAUUGCCCGUAAGGCUUGAUCCU